ACUAAAUUUGAUUUUGGUUUAAUUUAGAUUGCUUUUUGUUGAUUUAUAAUAUGUGAGUUUUUGCAUGAUUAUGGACUUUAUUUAAAUAAUAGGUCUAUUUAUUUUAUUCGCAGUUUUUAUUUUUAUAAAUUUAAUAUUUUAAGAUAUAGUUAAUUAUUGGUAUGACUAGCAAAAAUUGUGCCAGCAGCUGCGGUUACACAAUUAGUCAUUGUGAUUUUUAUUAGAUUAUUAUUAAUAUAUUUUGAAUUGAUUAUUUUAUUUAUUUAUUUUAGGUGAAAUUUAAUAUUAAAUGAUAAUAAUUUGGUUAUUUAGAUUAUAAGAUGCUUUAUUAAUAAACUAGGAUUAGAUACCCUAUUAUUUAAAGUGUAAAUUAUAAAAUAUCUUAAUAUUAUAAGCUAUGUUCUUUAAAUUGAAAAAAUUUGACGGUAAUUUUAAUCAUUUUAGAGGAACCUGUCCUGUAAUUGAUGAUCCACGAUAAAUUUUACCUUUAUUUUUAGUUUGUAUAUCUCUGUCUGAUUGAAUGUUUUAUUAGAAUUAAUUUAUUUUCAUUUAUUUUUAUUGAAUUUUAUGUCAGGUCAAGGUGCAGUUAUAUAAAGGUUUGAGAUGGGUUACAUUUAAUAAAGUUAAUUUUUGGAUUAAAUUAUUUAUAUAAUUUAUGAAAUUGGAUUUAAAUGUAAUAAAUAAUAUAUAUUAUUUAUGAUAUAUGCUCUUGAUUAAGUACACAUCGCCCGUCACUCCCAUUAUAAGAUGGGAUAAGUCGUAACAAAGUAGUCCUAUCGGAAGUUGGGGCUGGAAUUAU
rnacentral:ncRNA from 1 species